AUUUUCUAUGAGAAGAAAAAUUAACAAUUAAAUUGUUUACUUUAGAUUAAAGGUGUUGAUUUGAUUGUUUGGAAUAAAUUGUUGAUUGAAAUCUAUGGUUUUCCAAUGAGAGUUUGUAUUAGUUGACAAGUUAUUGAUUGGUUUUCUUUUAUGGCUUUUCAAGGCUUGUUAAUGGGUUUAAUCUACUGACAACUUUAUCGGUGUUUAAUUAUGUAAGGUUGACUUUGAAUGUCAUUUGCUAUUGGAUUGUGACUUGGACUGAGAUUUCAAUCAUUUGGUGGAACAAGCGAAAUGGACAAAAUCAAAUGAAUCAAAAUGGUGAUUAAUUGUAAUCUUGUUGAUCAAAUUUAAGGUGCAAUUAGCGAAAUAAGAUGAGAGUUUGAUGAGAAUCAGUGACGCGUUUCUAUGCAAAAGGAAAAACAAUAAACCAAUUGAAGUGGUGGAAAUGUGAACAAGAAACAACAAUCCAAAUAGAUUGAAAGGUAAAUCAAGAUGACAUCGAAAGACAAUUAACCGAUUGUUACCGUUAUGAAGAUUUAAUUGUAAAGAAAGAAAAACAAAGGAAAAGGAACCAGUAAUUACCUAGUAAGAUGGUGAUCAAGAUAAAGUGUCAAUCAAAUGGUUUCCACCCUUUAAUCAGUUACUGAAUGGAUGGUAAUUACGAUUGUAUAAGAAUCUUUGAAAAAAGUACCGAUGGCCCUUAAAAUUGUCGAUUCAUUUACAAGUUCGAUAAUUUUUCUUUCUAUUAAUUGGAUGGUUCUGAUUUUCUUCCUAAAAAGUUAUCGAUCAAGUUGUCAAUCAUGAGAAGCCAAUUCUAAAAAAUUUUCAACAAUAUACCGUCGAACCAGAUGAAUGUCUUCAGUGGAAACAAUUCACUAAUCGCGAUCGAAUCUCAACUGCUCUAAUUAACCCUUUUAGUGAUGUUUUCUCUUUGGCUUCGGGUUCCUCUUCACUCAUCAAUUAGACAUGUAAAAAUCGUGGAUUAAGUUAACAACAUUUAAGGUUCGAGUCUGAAAUGAACCAAUAAAACUGAUGAAUACAAAUGACCAGAAUGGAUUGAAUCCUCAUAAAGUGACCAUUAUCAUCAAGUCCACCAAGAGCGUAAAGUAAUUCAAGGCCAGUGA